AGCUCCAAUAGCGUAUAUUUAAGUUGUUGCAGUUAAAAAGCUCGUAGUUGGAUUUUGGGUGGGUUCUAGCGGUCCGCCUAUGGUGAGUACUGCUAUGGCCUUCCUUUCUGUCGGGGACAGGCUCCCGGCCUUAAUUGUCCGGGAUCUGGAGCUGACACUGUUACUUUGAGUAAAUUAGAGUGUUCAAAGCAGGCUUUCGCCCUGAAUACUUUAGCAUGGAAUAACACGAUAGGACUCUGGCCUAUCUUGUUGGUCUGUAGGACCGGAGUAAUGAUUAAGAGGGACAGUCGGGGGCAUUCGUAUUUCAUUGUCAGAGGUGAAAUUCUUGGAUUUAUGAAAGACGAACUACUGCGAAAGCAUUUGCCAAGGAUGUUUUCA
rnacentral:rRNA from 1 species